rnacentral:rRNA from 1 species
UACGGAGGAUGCGAGCGUUAUCCGGAUUUAUUGGGUUUAAAGGGUGCGUAGGCGGGCUGUUAAGUCAGCGGUCAAAUGUCGGGGCUCAACCCCGGCCUGCCGUUGAAACUGGGGUUCUUGAGUGAGCGAGAAGUAUGCGGAAUGCGUGGUGUAGCGGUGGAAUGCAUAGAUAUCACGCAGAACCCCGAUUGCGAAGGCAGCAUACCGGCGCUCAACUGACGCUGAGGCACGAAAGUGCGGGUAUCGAACAGG